rnacentral:rRNA from 1 species
GAUGAACGCUGACAGAAUGCUUAACACAUGCAAGUCAUUGGCGAAGCUGCGCUUGCGCAGUCUAGCCAAGGCGGACGGGUGAGUAACGCGUAAGGAACUUGCCCUGCAGACAGGGAUAACAGACGGAAACGACUGAUAACACCCGGUAUUGUCAGGCUGGCGCAUGCCGGCCUGAUGAAAGGAGACGCUGCAGGAGAGCCUUGCGUCCUAUUAGCUAGUUGGUGGGGUAACGGCCCACCAAGGCGAUGAUAGGUAGCCGGCCUGAGAGGGUGAACGGCCACAAGGGGACUGAGAUACGGCCCUUACUCCUACGGGAGGCAGCAGUGGGGAAUAUUGGACAAUGGGGGCAACCCUGCUCCAGCAAUUCUGUGUGCACGAAGAAGGUUUUCGGAUUGUAAAGUGCUUUCAGCAGGGAAGAAGAAAGUGACGGUACCUGCAGAAGAAGCGACGGCUAAAUCCGUG